rnacentral:rRNA from 1 species
CAGUCGCCGCGGUAAUACGUAGGUGGCGAGCGUUGUCCGGAAUUAUUGGGCGUAAAGGGAGCGCAGGCGGACAUAUAAGUCCAUCUUAAAAGUGCGGGGCUCAACCCCGUGAGGGGAUGGAAACUGUAUGCCUUGAGUGCAGGAGAGGAAAGCGGAAUUCCCAGUGUAGCGGUGAAAUGCGUAGAUAUUGGGAGGAACACCAGUGGCGAAGGCGGCUUUCUGGACUGUAACUGACGCUGAGGCUCGAAAGCCAGGGGAGCGAACGGGAUUAGAUACCCCCGUAGUCCCUGUCUCUUAUACC